CCCAAUACUGAUAUAUAUGCAUUCGUUAUAUAGAUAUCUGUUUUCAUUUGACAUAACUGAGUUUUGCGCAGAUGGACUCUCUUGCUACUAUGUUGGGCUUUGAGAGCAAUGACAUAGGUAUCCAUGUUUCUUUCCAGAUAAGUAAGCUCUAUCAUUUGAUAGCCUUCAUGUUUGACUACUUUAUCUGUACUUUAGAUUUUACAUGUAUAUCAGUAAGGCCAAAGCGUAUGUGGCAUUUUCUUCAGAUUGCUUUCAGGCCACCUAGACGUGUCUUAUUCAUCAAAUUAAUUAGCUUAUGUUUCUUGCACCUUCUUAUAAAAGUAUCUUGGAUAGUUGAAUCUCAGGGAGGCGGCCAGUAAAUUUUAAAUUAUUUUUUCCUGUUCUUGACAUUCUAAUCUUAUCAUGGAUAAAUAAACUAGAUAGGGUCAUAAAAUUAUUCAUAGUUAAUUCUGUAUUUGUUGCAAAAUUAUAUAUCUGGAAAACUAGACAUGAUAAAAAUUAACAAUAAAACAACUGCAUAUACUGAUAGCAAAAAGUUUAUUGGUGGAACCUUUUUAGCUCCGUAGAUGACUGAAAUCUCAGAUUAUUCCUUUGAGUAUGCAUUUUUACUUGUUGUAUUGAGUAUUGACUAUUAUGUACUGUAUCUCCUAUGUCUCUACUGUCUGUUCUAUCAUGAAUUUGAUAAGUAGGGUUUAAAUUUAUGGAGCACUGUGACCUUGAGUUUCAUCUAGGUGAGCUUUUUUGUGAGAACAGAGACCUUUCUAGACUAUGAAUUUUCUGGCUCUCUCUAAUCAACAGUUACUGAUCAAACAAUUAUAGUUUCUCAUCGGUUUUGAUAUUUGUCUACUGUAUUAAAUUCAAUGUUUUUUUUUCCUAAAUAUUAAAUUCAAUGUCUUACUGGUAAAAACUACUCCCUCUGUCCCUCUCAUUUCUUUACAGUUACUAUUUUGGGAUGUCCCUCUCAUUUCUUUACAUUACUAUAAAUAGUAAGUUUUUCCCAUCAUUACACCCACUAUCUUCCCCCUACUAUCUCAUAUUUAACAAUAAAAACUACUAUUACACCUACUACUUUCCUCCACUAUCUCAAAUCUAUUAUUAAAUAUUGAUAGGUUCCACCACUUUACCCACUUUUCAUCUAACUUUACUCAUCUUCAUACAUUGUCUUGGUCUCGGUGUCCCCCUCCAAUGUAAACAAUUGAGGGGGACGGAGGGAGUAUAAUUUUUUGUUUUCUGCCUGGAGUAAAGACACGUAUGGAAGUAGUUGGUAUAUAUCUAAUUUGAUACUUGUAGUUCCAUUCUUGCUCAAGAUGAUUAACUUUUCUUAAACCAAUGAUAGGUGAUUGUCGCUGUGGUUAAGCACAAUGAAAGUUCUAAGGAAUCGCAGUUUUCAUAGUUGAUAUGUGACAAAUUCUGGAUGCAUGUGUUAAUCUCGCCUACUGGACGUCUUUGGAUUUAGGAGCAGUUUUAACGAGAGCUUUAUGCCGAAAGGCUGGAUUCGUGAAUAUGCUUGACAUUCAGGGGAAGAACAAAGCUGGAAUGAGUGAGGGCGGCAGCAGCGGUGGCAGUGGAAUCAAUACUGAUUGCCAGAAAAGUAACAAGCUUAGAAUAUUGUUGUAUGAUGCUGAUGUUGAGAGUUCUCAACAAUGUUCCAGUCUUCUCCGCCAGUGCAGCUCUAACUACCAAGGUACGCUGUACAUGUAAUAUAUAUCAUCUGGAACAAAUAAUAGUCGUUUUUCAUGCAUUUAACUCGUAAAAUAAAAAUCAGUGCUCCUUUUCAAAGAUAUUAAAUAGUUAUUUCAUAUUACCUACUUGAGAUAAUGUUAAUGUAAAUAUUUUUUCAUGUCAACACCAAUAAUGAAUUCUAUGUCACCAGCUUUAAGUUUCUGUGAUCUAUUUGGUCAGCACCAGUUGCUUUCAGAACAGCUUGAGCUCAUCGAUUACUUUUUGUUUAACCUUUAAACAAGUAUUGCAAUUUUUUUCAAGUUGCAUUAGACUAUAUAGGCCCUGGUAGUAGCUUUGCUGGCUUGUUUAGUAUGCCAGCCUGCAAAUCUUGUACGCAUGAUGAAUUGGAAUUAUGGAAUUGGCCAUCUCCAGUUUUAGAAUACACAUAUAAUAAAGUUUUUUCCUUUCUGCAUGAGCAUUUCCUUUCUUCUUACUUAAUCUUUGGGCAGAGAAAUGAGAAUGUUUUUACUAAAUAAAUUUAUGCACGUAUAAAUAUAAUAAAAGGAGUGGAUAUUGGUGGAGUUUGGAUGCAGUGAAGGCAGUUUUUAGUGCAAACGAGGUGAUGAAUGCACUUAACUCAUCAUGUACUACUCCUGGGUUUGAAAUAGACAUAAUCCUUGCUGAAGCUUCUCUUCUUGUUUCCACUGGGGGUUCCCAUUUACUCAGAUACAUUACUCAGAGUAAUGAUUUGAAGCACAUCCCUGUCAUCAUGAUGUUUGAAGAGGACGAUGUUUCCAUGAUAUUCAAGGGUCUUGGGUUUGGAGCAACGGAUUAUAUAAUGAAGCCUUUAGGUGUCACUGAUGUUUUAAAUCUAUGGGAUCGGAUUCACAAGAGGAAGUUCAUCAAUUGAUCAGAUCAGUUUGAAUAUACGACCACUUUGUGAUUUGUGAUAGUGUCAGACAUCACAUAAUAUAAUAUAAAUUACAUAAUAUAAUAUAAAUUAUG